rnacentral:pre_miRNA from 1 species
CGUUAAAAAUUUUAUCCAUUUGUACCUUUAAAAACUUAUGUUGCUGACGGAAUAAGCUGACUGUAAUAUGUGAUAUGUAGUUGAUGUGCAGAGACUAAUUUUCUAACUGUAAAAAUAAAUAAAAUUUUGAACG